rnacentral:misc_RNA from 1 species
UCUCAGACAAUGAGAAGUUGAAAAAUUCUUCUGAAAUGCCAAACAUAGCUAACCAGAAAGAAAAAAAUUCAUCUCAUGGAAUCCGCAAUGUGGUCUUGAAAUCAGAUGGAGGGAGUAUCUCUGGAGCAAAAUCGAAGCCACUGUUUUCCCCUGGCUUUCUUGGGAAACGUCCAUUGAACCUAUGUGCCAAGAAAGAUGUCUCAUGGCAAGUUUGCAAUAGCACACUUAAUGGUCUGACAAAUUCCUGUACGAUGCCUGAAUUGUCUCAUGAAAUCCACAUCGAUAAGGAUGACCAAG